rnacentral:rRNA from 3 species
AGGUUGACCUCGGAUCAGGU